AGUGAACGCUGGCGGUAGGCCUAACACAUGCAAGUCGAACGGCAGCACAGUAAGAGCUUGCUCUUACGGGUGGCGAGUGGCGGACGGGUGACGAAUACAUCGGAAUCUACUUUUUCGUGGGGGAUAACGUAGGGAAACUUACGCUAAUACCGCAUACAACCUACGGGUGAAAGCAGUGGAUCUUCGGACCUUGCGCGAUUGAAUGAGCCGAUGUCGGAUUAGCUAGUUGGCGGGGUAAAGGCACACCAAGGCGACGAUCCGUAGCUGGGCUGAGAGGAUGAUCAGCCACACUGGAACUGAGACACGGUCCAGACUCCUACGGGAGGCAGCAGUGGGGAAUAUUGGACAAUGGGCGCAAGCCUGAUCCAGCCAUACCGCGUGGGUGAAGAAGGCCUUCGGGUUGUAAAGCCCUUUUGUUGGGAAAGAAAAGCAGCAGGUUAAUACCCCGCUGUUCUGACGGUACCCAAAGAAUAAGCACCGGCUAACUUCGUG
rnacentral:rRNA from 1 species